rnacentral:misc_RNA from 1 species
GAUGAAGAACGCAGCGAAAUGCGAUAAGUAAUGUGAAUUGCAGAAUUCAGUGAAUCAUCGAAUCUUUGAACGCACAUUGCGCCCGCCAGUAUUCUGGCGGGCAUGCCUGUUCGAGCGUCAUUUCAACCAUCAAGCCCCGGGCUUGUGUUGGGGACCUGCGGCUGCCGCAGGCCCUGAAAUGCAGUGGCGGGCUCGCUGUCACUCCGAGCGUAGUAGUUACAUCUCGCUCUGGGCGUGCUGCGGGUUCCGGCCGUUAAAAGCCUUAUUUACCCAAGGUUGACCUCGGAUCAGGUAGGAGACCCGCUGAACUUAAGCAUAUCAAUAAGCGGAGGA